UGCAGUCGACGGCAGCACAGAAGAGCUUGCUCUUUGGGUGGCGAGUGGCGGACGGGUGAGUAAUGUCUGGGAAACUGCCCGAUGGAGGGGGAUAACUACUGGAAACGGUAGCUAAUACCGCAUAACGUCGCAAGACCAAAGUGGGGGACCUUCGGGCCUCACACCAUCGGAUGUGCCCAGAUGGGAUUAGCUAGUAGGUGGGGUAAUGGCUCACCUAGGCGACGAUCCCUAGCUGGUCUGAGAGGAUGACCAGCCACACUGGAACUGAGACACGGUCCAGACUCCUACGGGAGGCAGCAGUGGGGAAUAUUGCACAAUGGGCGCAAGCCUGAUGCAGCCAUGCCGCGUGUAUGAAGAAGGCCUUCGGGUUGUAAAGUACUUUCAGCGGGGAGGAAGGCGGUGAGGUUAAUAACCUCGCCGAUUGACGUUACCCGCAGAAGAAGCACCGGCUAACUCCGUGCCAGCAGCCGCGGUAAUACGGAGGGUGCAAGCGUUAAUCGGAAUUACUG
rnacentral:rRNA from 1 species